rnacentral:rRNA from 1 species
AAUCAACGCUGGCGGCGUGCCUAACACAUGCAAGUCGAGCGGGAAAGGGGGCUUCGGUCCCUGAGUAUAGCGGCGGACGGGUGAGUAACACGUGGGUAAUUUGCCCUUGGGUGUGGAAUAACUCAGGGAAACUUGAGCUAAUACCGCAUGACAUCCCCUUCACACACGAGUUGGGGAUCAAAGCCGGGGACCCUUCGGGGCCUGGCGCCUGAGGAGAAGCCCGCGCCCGAUUAGCUAGUUGGGA